UACAGAGGGGGCAAGCGUUGUCCGGAAUUACUGGGCGUACAGCGCGCGCAGGCGGUUGCCGACGUGCCGUGUGACAAACGGGGGCUCAACCCCCGAGGGCCACGGUAAACGGGGCGACUGGAGGUAGGGAGAGGGAUGUGGAAUGCCCGGUGGAGCGGUGAAAUGCGUAGAGAUCGGGCGGAACACCAGCGGCGAAGGCGGAUCUCUGGGCCUUACCUGACGCUCAGGCGCGAAAGCUAGGGGAGCGAACUGG
rnacentral:rRNA from 1 species